AGCUAAUCAGCUCAGCUAGUUCUUAGCAUCCCGAUUUUAUCGGGAGGGUCGGGGGUUCGAAUCCCUCAUUUUCCA
rnacentral:tRNA from 1 species